AGUGAACGCUGGCGGUAGGCCUAACACAUGCAAGUCGAACGGCAGCACAGUAAGAGCUUGCUCUUACGGGUGGCGAGUGGCGGACGGGUGAGGAAUACAUCGGAAUCUACUUUUUCGUGGGGGAUAACGUAGGGAAACUUACGCUAAUACCGCAUACGACCUACGGGUGAAAGCAGGGGAUCUUCGGACCUUGCGCGAUUGAAUGAGCCGAUGUCGGAUUGGCUAGUUGGCGGGGUAAAGGCCCACCAAGGCGACGAUCCGUAGCUGGUCUGAGAGGAUGAUUAGCCACACUGGAACUGAGACACGGUCCAGACUCCUACGGGAGGCAGCAGUGGGGAAUAUUGGACAAUGGGCGCAAGCCUGAUCCAGCCAUACCGCGUGGGUGAAGAAGGCCUUCGGGUUGUAAAGCCCUUUUGUUGGGAAAGAAAAGCAGCAGGUUAAUACCCCGCUGUUCUGACGGUACCCAAAGAAUAAGCACCGGCUAACUUCGUG
rnacentral:rRNA from 1 species